ACUGGUGAGGAUCUGGGGCUUAGAAAGAUCUUGUUGUUGUAGAUGUGUUUUUUUUUAGGAGCAGAGCGUUGGUGCUUGUCGGGUUUGAUGGAGGUAUGAAUGUUUGACGGGCCCGGAGAGCGAGCGCCGUGUCGGGGUUGGAGAUCAGAGGUGUUCUGCUGCUGGUGGUCUGGUCUGAUGUUACACCGAGCUGUCACGAUAAACACAACUAAGUUAUUAAAAGUACAUAACAGAGAGGUCAGUUUAAUCUGGAAUAAGAAUUAAUCUGUUGUUUUUAACCACCAUCGGUUGAUCUAAAGAGCUAAUCUCGUGUUCUUGGAUGCUGUAACAGAAGAGUUGUAAGGAUUAUUUAUGUCACCAGUCUGAACAAACUCAGAUCGGUUUCAUUUAGUCUUUCUGCAAAUCUGUAAAAACAAUCACCUUUAAUCUAAGAUUAGAUUAUUAAAGUGCAUGUCAAGUGUGCCUCAGAGUCUUACCCCACCCACGUAUCAAUUUUGAAAACUGCAACAUUAGUAGGCGUUGCCUGGAGGACCGAGAGGGCGGAGCCGCGGCAGUGACGAAGAGACGGCUAACUAGACGAAGCUAGCUCCCUUCACUCUGAGCAGUCAUUAGAAGUGGAGGACGUUUCUCCCCCUCCUUACCCAGACACUCGAGAAGAAAGGGACCAAGUCUAUUUGGAGGAGACAAGCGGACAUGAGCCUUAUUGUUUAGAGCUUGUGAGUUGCCUGAAAUUACUGGAACCGACCCAACAGACCCAUCUCUGAACGUGAUCCUCUGGUGUCUGCAGCUGAUCUCCUGCUGAUGUCGUCGGGAUCAGGAGCUUCCAGAAGAAUGUGCCUUUCAAUGACUCUUUCCCCCUUAUUUGUUAUAUUAAUUAAAUAAAUCUCAAUUUAUAUA